UACGGGGGGGGCAAGCGUUGUUCGGAAUUACUGGGCGUAAAGGGCUCGUAGGUGGCCAACUAAGUCAGACGUGAAAUCCCUCAGCUUAACUGGGGAACUGCGUCUGAGACUGGUGAGCUUGAGUGCAGGAGAGGAACGCGGAAUUCCAGGUGUAGCGGUGAAAUGCGUAGAUAUCUGGAGGAACACCGGUGGCGAAGGCGGCGUUCUGGACUGCAACUGACACUGAGGAACGAAAGCCAGGGGAGCAAACGGG
rnacentral:rRNA from 1 species